UAAAAAGAAGGAAUCUAAGACUAUUUUAAAAAUUUCUCUCAAUGAUUUAAUAUUUGGGUUUUAUGUAUUUUAUUCCAUUUUAGCACUGUGAGAUAGCAUGAUUGCCUAAAGGACUGUAUUAAAGAUGAGUGCACAGUUCUGUCUUAUUUAUCUGCUGUCACAUUGUUUUGACACAGAAGAAAGUCAAGUAACAUUGAUGAAGAGCUAAAAUAUGCUCUAACUGUGGAAAAAAUAAAUAUAAAUUGUCCAUAGUUGCUCAAUUUCUAAAGUAAAAGGAAAAAAUACAGUGUAAGACUGUGAAUUAGUUCAGGAAGGUAAACUUAAGUAAUGUUUAUUUAACUUCAAGAUUUCAGUGGCUUAACUCAACAAAGGUCUGCUUCUUCUGCAUGUCACGGGACAAUGCUGGUUGGUAUGGAUGGCUCUUCUCCAUGCAGUAAUUCAGAGACACAGGCUUCUUUCAUCUAGUGAUUUAUUUUUCCCUGCAGCUUCAGAUACUCUUUUUCCCUCUCUCUGGGAUCCUUUGCAUCUGUCUGGCAGAUAUGGAGACGGAAAGCACAAGAGGAUUGUGUUAGGAGUCUUAAGGGCUGGAUGUGACACUCCUUGAAAGGGAAGCUGGGGAAUGAGUAUGUAGGUGUGUGUCCAGGAUGUAGGGAAAAUGGGUUUGGUGGGGACAGCACUUCCUGGAAUAACGUUGCUUUGGAUUUAACAACAGUUGGGCAAAGGAGGUCGGUAUACAGAUACAGGACAAGAAGAGUGGUGUCAAAGGGAGGCUAAAUCAUUGGUUCUGGCUUCAUCUAAGGAAUUCUUAUGAGAAAUCGAGGGAGAGACUGUCCUGGGAAGUCUGAUGAAACAUAGCCCUCACAGAGAAACUUCCCUCCUGGUUAACUGGACCCAGGCAUGAGUCUUCGUUGAAACCGUGGGAGGAAGAAGAGUUUUACCAAUCACCAGUGCUGAAGAAAUCUCUCCUUUCUGGGCAGGAUGAGGGAAUCACUAAAUGACGAUGUUUUCAUCUGAUAUUUAAUAUACUCCUGAGGAUAAGGAGCCUGGUUGAUAAGCAUUGCAGUUUACCAGAAACUCUGCAGAAGACUUCAGACUGGAAAAGCCAGCCAGAGUCCAGGAGGGGAGGAGGAGGAUGCAGAGGAGCCCUGGCCAAGAUGAACGGAGAUGAACUGACACUUCAGGAGACUGUGUUCUCUAAAACCAGCACUGCUGUUGGGGUACUUUACCUCUUAGAGUUAAUUAGAUGCUUAAAAGUGAAACCAUCACUCUGCCUUCAGCAGAUUUGAGGGCUGCCUCAUUUAGCUUUUCAACCUUGCAUCAGCUUGCUGCUCUUGCCUUCCAUCUGAAGUCAAGACAGUGGGGAGGGGAAAUACAUAUACAGAAGCCUUGAUAUCCAGGAAAGUGCUUCCAUCAACCUCAUUUAUCACAUGACAUUUCCUGGGAUUAUCAGUCUAGUUAAACUGAUUCCUUGACCAUGACUUACCUUGAUUCUUCUGAAAUCCACAUUUGUAACCAGCUUGGAUAAAUCAGUCACAAAUCUUGGUAGGCUAUCUGGUUAACCUACUCUAGAAAAUGAUUAUUUUAGAGAGGAGUGAUAAAAACUAUCCCUUGCAAGGAGAAGAUGAACAUAAAGUAGCUUAAAAGAGACUCAAAAGGCUUGUAGUAAGAGACGAAAGGAAAUACUUUUUGAAAGUCAGGGUUUCUAAAUAUCUAUGCUGGAAAGGGCUUAUGAGAAAAGAACUGGUAUUUCCUUUAAAAAUAAGAUAGACAUGGCUACAUCUCUAUGUGUUCAACAGCUUUUCACCGCUUGGGGUCUUAUUCCUCUUUGAGAACCUGUUGGAAGAAAUGAAGUUCUUCUGAGAAAAGAGAUGUCAGAUUUCCAUACAUGGAGUUAAGAAGCCCUGCCCUGAUUUAAGAUUGUGAAUAGUUCACAGUUAGGGAAGACCAAUGCAGUCAGGAAAAUGAAGGUGGUGAGGAAUGAGCUGAGGAAAAUAUUCGAUUGACAAACUCAGUAUUAUGUGUACUAUAUGUGUGUUUAUGUACGCCCUUUUCUGUUGGACUCACUCGUGGCACAUAGCGGCCAUUCAGUAAAGACUUGCUGGAGGAAGGAAUGAAAGCCUGAUUGUUGGGUGACUCCUAGAAAGAGGCACCCUCUAUACCAGGUUUAGAAAGACGUGAUCUAUGCCAGAGAGAGGAGUGUGAUGUCGUGGCAAGAGAAUUUGCUAUUGCUGCUGAACUUGGCUCUCUGGGGAGUUUUAGGAUACAUUGCAGCUCCAAGAUGGAAUUUCAGCCUGUGCCUCCACAGUCCCUUUAUGGGGAACUUGGGCUGGGCCUUGAUUAUGUUGUGAGACUCUCAUGGGAACACUUCUGUGGGGAACCAUGUUUUCCUCCCACAGCGUUGCUAAUUCAGAAAAUUAAAGGGACCCCCUGCCUACCUCUCAUGUUAGUUUAAAGAGAAGCUGGAUUGCUCUAUGGAAAUCCUUUUGUAGCAGAAAUCAGGACAGCUGUUUGUAAAUAGUAACCUGUGAGAAAAUACUCAAGCUCUCAAUAGGCAGAGGGAAAAGUCAGCCUUAGAGUAUAUCCUACAAGCUGUUCAAAUACUUACCCCAUGAUAAAUAAUAGCCUUCUUAAUCCUAUAAUAUUCUCUAUCAUUGUCUUUUCCCAGUGUGCCAAGAUGUGGUGUUUUACUUCGAAUCAGCUAAUGCAUGAUGCUAAUUAGCACAUUAAUUCUGUUGACUCUGUUCAUAAUAAUUAGUGUAUUGGUGGGCUCUUAGCAUAUCAAAAUGGUAUUUUUAUUCCUGCCUAAAUGUUUACUGUCAGAUAGUAGCUAGUUACUAGAGUUUGACAAUAGGAAAUGUGAUACAGAGAAUCAGACAUUCUGUGAGAAGCAACAUAUCCCCACGCAGAUUGCGUGGAAAGAGGAUGGAAAAGAAAUUCCAAACAAUGAAUGUGUGACUUAACUUGUGACCAAGUACAGUUCAACUUCUGUUGAGCAAGGGAUGCUUGUAUUAUUAUUAAUUUCACCUCUGAGUGAUGACAACAUUCUUGGCGCCAUAGGAAGUCAUAGGACAAUGUGCUUUUACACAUCUGCCAUCAUUUUCAUGAAAUCCUAACUAAUUGCUUGACUGCUGCUGAGGCAUCAGCACUUGCACUCGAUGUGGAAUUUGUCCAGCUUGGCUGUAAUUGUAUUAUUCAGUUACAUUUUAAAAAAUGAGUGUAAAUGAGGUCGAUCUGCUAAUUUCAGUAAAUUGUCAUGAAGUGGAAUGAUAGGGGAUGAUUGCUCUUUUGGAUGACACAUUGUUUAAAUGAGAACCUAAUGAUACCUGGACAAACUUCUGGAGAAAUUACCAAAUUGCUAACAUGCCAUGUGAAAUCCUUGAACACUAUUAAGAUAAUUACAGGAGAUUGAUGUGUUUGCCUUAGUUUAAAAUCUUAAUUAGCAUUGACACCAAAAGCAACAUCCCUAUGUUAAAAACACAAUGUGAAUACUAUUUUAUUAUUACCAUGGAACCUUGACCUUUCUUUCCUUCACCUAUAGCUCAAUCCUUGUCUUCCUCCAGUCCCAGGGCUCCUUAUCACAACCAUCAUUUUGAUUUUACACUGGAUUUACAUGAUACCUUUUACUGAAGUGCUUAAAUCUAGGAAAGAAUAAAUUUCUAUUGACUAGGAGUCAGAAACUUAGGGUAGAAUGAUGGAGCAUUGUUUUAUAACAGGAGCAGUUUCCAGCUUGGAUUCAAAAUACUGAUUAAAAAAAUUUGUUUUCUAUUAUGAUUGGAUCUGUACUUUCUAACGCCAAAUAUUUUAAUCCAGAUACUUUUUAUCUUGAUCCCACGCUUGCCCUUUAACCUUUACCAGAAAUUCAGAGAAACAGAGUACAUAUUUCGCCACACAAUGGUCAUCCUCACUGAAUACUUUUAUCCAGAGGUCUACAAACUAUGACCCUCCAGUCAAAUCCUACCUUGCCCUUGUUUUUGUAAAUAAAGUUUUAUUGGAACAUAACCAUGCUCAUUUGUUUAUAUAUUGUCUAUGGCUGCUUUCACACUACAAAGGCAGACUUAAGUAGUGCAACUAAGACCAUAUGUCCCAUAAGGCCCCAAAUAUUUGCUAUCUGGGCUUUUCCCAGAAAAAGUUUGCUGACCCCUGAUCUAGACUUUUAGAAACCAAGACACAAAAGAUUCUUAACAAAGAAAUAGUUUCCACAUUUGUUAAACUCUUCCAAAUAACUUUAAUACUUAACAUAAAAAUGUCAAGAAAGUAUUGUGAAAUAGUACACUGAUUUCUUUCCUAUGUUUCAAGGGAUAGUUAGACAGUAAGUCAUGGCACCAGUGAAUUGAAAAUCCAUUGUCACUGACAGAAUAUCUCUGCCGUCAGCUAAGCCUCCCACAGAAUCCAUGAUAUGGUCUGAGGAGAAAGCUGGUGUGAACGUACGGAGAGUCUCUAUAUAUACAGCAGAUCCUCUAAUAAUAUUGUCUCAUUCACUAUUGUUUAGUUUUUUUUUUUUUUUUUCCCUGAGAUGGAGUCUCUCUCAGUCUCCCAGGCUGGAGUGCA
rnacentral:lncRNA from 1 species